rnacentral:rRNA from 1 species
UCAGGACGAACGCUGGCGGCGUGCCUAACACAUGCAAGUCGAACGGACGAGGGGAGCUUGCUCCCCAAGUUAGUGGCGGACGGGUGAGUAACACGUGAGCAACCUGCCCUUCGGAGGGGGACAACAGCGGGAAACUGCUGCUAAUACCGCAUAAUGUAUCCUGGAGGCAUCUCCGGGAUACCAAAGAUUUUUGUCGCCGAAGGAUGGGCUCGCGUCUGAUUAGAUAGUUGGUGGGGCAACGGCCCACCAAGUCUGCGAUCAGUAGCCGGACUGAGAGGUUGAACGGCCACAUUGGGACUGAGAUACGGCCCAGACUCCUACGGGAGGCAGCAGUGGGGAAUAUUGGGCAAAUGGGGGCAACCCUGACCCAGCAACGCCGCGUGGAGGAAGAAGGCUUUCGGGUUGUAAACUCCUUUGACGAGGGACGAUGAUGACGGUACCUCGAAAACAAGCCACGGCUAACUACGUGCCAGCCGCGGC